UUUAGGAUUUUAUUGACUAACCUAUUUUAGGAUUUUAUCGACCAACCUAUUUUUUUGCUAUUUGUUUUGCACAUGUAGCAUUAAAAUUAUAAUCAGUUAGCAGUAAUGGCGGUCGUAACCGCUGCUCAUGAAAACUGGUAUUUUUAUUAAUCUUGCUAUCAAGAAAAUUAAGAAAAUUAAUCUUGAUACUUUUAUCUUUUAUGAGCGCUCUUUGAUUUUGACAAUUUUAUUUAAUUUUUGGUGGAUAGCUACAAAAUCAGAAAAUUAUAUAGCACGGGUUUUGAUGAAUUCGCGUGUGAUGACCUAGUUAAUUUAGGUCUACUAUCGGUGUUUCCUUUAGUGUUCAAGUUACCGACCAUAAGCGGUGCAGGUAUAUCGGUUGUUUUGCAUCUCAUUUGUGUUGGUUCUGGGGAGUGAGGAACCAUUUUCAAGGUGAUGGUCAUUGUUGUUGAUUUCCUUACUUCAGGUGAUAUCCCCUGCACUCAUGUGAAAGUCUACAUUGGACAUUUGUUGAAUCACCACAUUGAAGAAUCGACUUAGUUGACUGGCAUUGUAAGAUAUGUAAUUGAUAUUGCCAACGAAAAAUAUGCGCUCAUGGGUCUAUAAUAUAUAUUUAGCUUCUUGCUUUAUCCUGAUUUCAGCAGAUGCUAAGCGACGACAUCAUAAAUUCUGUAUGG